AAAAUAAAAAUUAGAUUUAAAAUUAAAAUUAAAAAAUUAAAUAAAAAAAUACAGCUCAGUGACACCCCCCCUCUCCUAUAGAAAAUAAAAUUAAAAAUAGGAGUGAGGGGCUCCCCAGGGAGGUGCAGGGGUGCAGGGGUGCAGGGGGGCUCUGGCACAUCAGGACCAUUCCCCUCAACGUGCUCUUCUACAGGUCUGUGACGCCCCAGUCCUGUCCAAAAUAAAAAUUAAAUUUAAAAUUAAAAUUAAAAAAUUAAAUAAAAAAUACAGCUCAGUGACACCCCCCCAUGCCAUCCAAAAUAAAAUUAAAAAUAGGAGUGAGAGGCUCCCCAUGUUCCCCAGGGAGGUGCAGGGGUGCAGGGUUUUGGGGGGCUCUGGCACAUCAGGACCAUCCCCCUCAACGUGCUCUCCUACAGGUCUGUGACACCCCCAUCCCAUCCAAACUAAAAAUUAAAUUUAAAAUUAAAAUUAAAAAAUUAAAUAAAAAAAUACAGGUCAGUGACACCCUCCCCCAUCCUAUCGAAAAUAAAAUUAAAAAUAGGAGUGAGGGGCUCCCCAUGCUCCCCAGGGAGGUGCAGGGGUUUGGGGGGCUCUGGCACAUCGGGACCAUUCCCCUCAACGUGCUCUUCUACAGUUUCCUGAUGGACGACAGCCUCUACCUCCUGAAGGCCAACUCCGACCUCUUCAAAGUGGACUAGAGCUGCUGGGGGGGGUGGGCAGAGCCCCCCNCUGUUUUCCCUUGUUUUUCCUUAUCCCAGGCACACUGACAGUGUUCCCCCUAUAUUUCCCUUAUCCCAGGCACACUGACAGUGUAUUCCCUGUGUUUACCUUAUCCCAGAGAUGCUGACACUGUUCCCCCUGUGUUUCCCCUAUCCCAGGCACACUGACAGUGUAUUCCCUUAUCCCAGAGAUGCUGACAGUGUAUUCCCUGUGUUUCCCCUAUCCCAAGGACACUGACGGUGUCUCCCCUGUCCCAGAGAUGCUGACAGUGUAUUCUCUGUGUUUCCCUUAUCCCAGGCACUCUGACAGUGUAGUCCCUUAUCCCAGAGAUGCUGACAGUGUAUUCUCUGUUUCCCCUGUCCCAGGCAAACUGACAGUGUAUUCCCUGUGUUUCCCUUAUCCCAGAGAUGCUGACGGUGUUCCCCCUGUGUUUCCCCUAUCCCAGGCACACUGAUGGUGUUUUCCCUUAUCCCAGGCACACUGACAGUGUAUUCCCUGUCCCAGGGAUGCUGACGGUGUUCUCCCUGUGUUUCCCCUAUCCCAGGCACACUGACAGUAUUUUCCCUUAUCCCAGGCACACUGACAAUGUUUUUCCUUAUCCCAGAGAUGCUGACAGUGUAUUCCCUGUGUUUCCCCUAUCCCAGGCACACUGACAGUGUCUCCCCUGUCCCAGAGAUGCUGACAGUGUAUUCUGUGUGUUUCCCCUGUCCCAGGCAUACUGACAGUGUUUUCCCUUAUCCCAGGCACACUAACAGAGUAUUCCCUGUGUUUCCCCUAUCCCAGAGAUGCUGACAGUGUAUUCCCUGUGUUUCCCUUAUCCCAGGCACACUGACGGUGUCUCCCCCGUCCCAGGCACACUGACAGUGUUUCCCCAUCGCAGGGAUGCUGAUGGUGUCUCCCCUGUCCCAGGCACACUGACAGUGUUUUCCCUGUGUUUCCCCUGUCCCAGGCACACUGACAGUGUAUUCCCUUAUCCCA
rnacentral:lncRNA from 1 species